rnacentral:rRNA from 1 species
AAAAGAACCUGAAACCGUGUACGUACAAGCAGUGGGAGCCCCACCACUAAGCCAGUGGUGAACUCCACAUACGCAUCCUUUGCUGAGGAUACGGUUAACGGAGCGAAAGCGACGUUCAACCGCAAAAGAAGCAGAGGGGGCUUAGUGGUGGGGUGACUGCGUACCUUUUGUAUAAUGGGUCAGCGACUUAUAUUCUGUAGCAAGGUUAACCGUAUAGGGGAGCCGGAGGGAAACCGAGUCUUAAUUGGGCGUUAAGUUGCAGGGUAUAGACCCGAAACCCGGUGAUCUAGCCAUGGGCAGGUUGAAGGUUGGGUAACACUAACUGGAGGACCGAACCGAC